rnacentral:rRNA from 1 species
AUUGAACGCUGGCGGCAGGCCUAACACAUGCAAGUCGAGCGGGGUUUUCGGACCUAGCGGCGGACGGGUGAGUAAUGCGUAGGAAGCUGCCCGAUAGAGGGGGAUACCAGUUGGAAACGACUGUUAAUACCGCAUAAUGUCUACGGACCAAAGUGUGGGACCUUCGGGCCACAUGCUAUCGGAUGCGCCUACGUGGGAUUAGCUAGUUGGUGAGGUAAUGGCUCACCAAGGCGACGAUCUCUAGCUGGUUUGAGAGGAUGAUCAGCCACACUGGAACUGAGCCACGGUCCAGACUCCUACGGGGGGCAGCAGUGGGGAAUAUUGGACAAUGGGCGCAAGCCUGAUCCAGCCAUGCCGCGUGUGUGAAGAAGGCCUUCGGGUUGUAAAGCACUUUCAGCGAGGAGGAAGGGGUGUGUGUUAAUAGUACACACCUUUGACGUUACUCGCAGAAGAAGCACCGGCUAACUCUGUGCCAGCAGCCGCUGUAAAAC